CUCGGGUACUCCCUGUACGGGAGUGAAAUGGGAAGUCGGUGCGCCUAACAGGGUUAUUCCGACGCUGCCCCCGCAACGGUAAUCAGGUUUAAUCGGCAAAGGCCACUGUGUCAAACAGCAUGGGAAGGCGCCCGUAUUUUAUACCUGUGAGCCCGGAGACCGGCCCGUGCCUAU
rnacentral:ncRNA from 1 species